GGACGAGCGGCUGUGUGUUUAUUGCAGGGCAUCGCGAUCUGCCAUCCCAACUGCCGAGCCGUCCGUUCCCGAUUCACCUUUAGACAGUCCUGGAAAGCCCAGCGGGAGAAUCCUGGCGCUGCUCCCUUCCAGUCAAGUGAUUGUAAAUAUAGCCUGGAUGUUGUUUACAUGAACCAUCCGGAGGGAGGAGCGUAGGAAGGAGGAGAAAGAGGAAGAGCGAGGAACCUCCGAGGCUGGCUGGGGUGACGCAAAAGACGGACAGAAAGAAGGAGCUGCAAUUGGGGCGUUUAUCGUGCA